GUCGAGCGAGGUUUUCGGACCUAGCGGCGGACGGGUGAGUAACGCGUGGGAACGUGCCCUUUGCUACGGAAUAGCCCCGGGAAACUGGGAGUAAUACCGUAUGUGCCCUUUGGUCUUGGCGAUCAUUGGGGAAAGAUUUAUCGGCAAAGGAUCGGCCCGCGUUGGAUUAGGUAGUUGGUGGGGUAAUGGCCCACCAAGCCGACGAUCCAUAGCUGGUUUGAGAGGAUGAUCAGCCACACUGGGACUGAGACACGGCCCAGACUCCUACGGGAGGCAGCAGUGGGGAAUCUUAGACAAUGGGGGCAACCCUGAUCUAGCCAUGCCGCGUGAGUGAUGAAGGCCUUAGGGUUGUAAAGCUCUUUCAGCUGGGAAGAUAAUGACGGUACCAGCAGAAGAAGCCCCGGCUAACUCCGUGCCAGCAGCCGCGGUAAUACGGAGGGGGCUAGCGUUGUUCGGAAUUACUGGGCGUAAAGCGCACGUAGGCGGACUGGAAAGUUGGGGGUG
rnacentral:rRNA from 1 species